UACGUAGGCAGCAAGCGUUGUUCGGAAUUACUGGGCGUAAAGCGAGUGUAGGCGGUCGGCCAAGUCUGUUGUGAAAUCUCCCGGCUCAACUGGGAGGGUGCGACGGAAACUGGUCGGCUAGAGUGCGGGAGAGGAGAGUGGAAUUCCUGGUGUAGCGGUGAAAUGCGUAGAUAUCAGGAGGAAUACCAGUGGCGAAGGCGACUUCCUGGCCUGUUCUUGACGCUGAGGCGCGAAAGCUAGGGUAGCAAACGGG
rnacentral:rRNA from 1 species